UCCCUGGUGGCUCAGAUGGUUAAGCAUCUGCCCGCAAUGCAGGAGACCUGGGUUCAAUUCCUGGGUUGGGAA
rnacentral:tRNA from 1 species